AAGGUCUUAUCUUAAUUAAAGUAUCUGGGUUGCAUUCAGAUGAUGUUGGAUAAAAUCCUGCAGGUCUUA
rnacentral:tRNA from 1 species